GACGAACGCUGGCGGCGCGCUUAACGCAUGCAAGUCGAACGGAAAGGCCUGCUUUCCCUUGUGGAUUGCGGGUACUCGAGUGGCGAACGGGUGAGUAACACGUGAGUGAUCUGCCCCCAACUUGGGUAUAAGCCUGGGAAACUGGGUCUAAUUCCCGAUAGGACUGCAGGGUGGUGCCUGUGGUGGAAAACGAUUUUCUAGUGGUUGGGGAUGAGCUCGCGGCCUAUCAGCUUGUUGGUGGGGUCAUGGCCUACCAAGGCGGCGACGGGUAGCCGGCCUGAGAGGGUGGACGGCCACAUUGGGACUGAGAUACGGCCCAGACUCCUACGGGAGGCAGCAGUGGGGAAUAUUGCACGAUGGGCGGAAGCCUGAUGCAGCGACGCCGCGUGGGGGAUGACGGCCUUCGGGUUGUAAACUCCUUUCGACCGCGAGGAAGCCACCUGGUUGGAAGGGUGGUGACGGUAGUGGUAGAAGAAGCACCGGCUAACUACGUG
rnacentral:rRNA from 1 species